ensembl:lncRNA
GUCCAUUUCAUAACAAAAUAAGUCAUAAUAUGCUAGUUUUCCACAAUUCACAUUGGUGACAGUAUUGACUGUAAUGCUCCCAUUCACUAGGGUGAUGCAACCCUCCUUUGUAGAGGCAAAUGGCGAUGGUAUAUUUCAGCCUGAGAUGGCUGCAGGUGGCGUCAUCUCCAUUUAUGCACUGAUAAUGACCCUUCAGUGUGUCUGGGGAGCUGGUCCCGCACAGGAAGACUGAGGUAGAUGGCUUUGGAGGCUAUUUCUUUGCCGGUAAUUGCGCAGCUCUUUUCAAUGAAAACUGUCCUGCUGUGUUAUGCCCUUGAAUGAUAGGCACUCGGGUGCCCUACUUUGGAUGGCUAGAGCUGCAGUUUUCACAUUAAUUGUGUUGUGUAUUUGUGUACGUGUGCAUGUGUGUAUUUCUUUUCUGACUGACAAGCGAGGUGAUUCAAGUUGUCACAAGCAUACAGACCAUUGCAAAUGGUUUGUGUUCGGCUUGUGUAUGUAUGUAGGGAGGUGUACUGUGUGCCUGUAUAAUCCUCUCACACCAUAUCUGUGUCUGUGGGGAGUGUAUUGUGUACUUCCUCCAAUUCUUUUCUGCAGAUCUGUUUUCCUGCCAUUGCUAGAGCACAGGACAAGGUCACAUUACCACUGAUACCCACACACAAUCACACACAUUUAUGGUCAUACACACAAAUGUUGUUUCUCAAUACUCUUUUUUUCUUUUUCUUUUUCUUUUUCGAAAACCAGGCCCACCUACUAGGACCCAUCUGCAGUGACACCAAUUUCAUGAGUCAAUGAUACAUCUGUUGGGAAUCCUGAACAUAGAUGUGCUGUACAUACAUGUGCAACUGGAUGCUGCGUACCUACUCAGUGAUCGCCUGACUUUUGAUCUUCUGACCCCUUUGUGAUAUUAGCCCACAUAGCCACCAUUACCGACUGUCUACUUUUCUUGGAAAGGAGUUGAUAAGAAGAGGCAAUUUACCCUCAUCCUCCUUCUUUUUGCUUGAUAAACAACACGAAAGCAAGUUUCCAUGACCUCAUUGACUGAUUGGGGCUCUUGCUUCUUUAUCACUCAGUCUUGUUGCUGCCUCAUCUGUGGCAAUACCUUUUGUGCAAUACUUUUGUAAAUAGUCAACGGUGCAAUAGACUCAAUACUUGAAAUGUGCAAUUCACUUGUAUUUUUAUUUUUAUUCCUAUUUAUUCUAUUUAUCCCCUUCGUAUAUUUUAUUUAUAUUGUCUCUGUAUUUAUAUAUAUGUGUGUGUGUAUAACUCUGUAACUUCUGUCGGUGCUGUGCUUUUUUGGAAAUCGAAUUUCCCAGAGGAACCCACCCGAGGGAUUAAUAAAGUUCUAUCUUAUCUUAUCUUAUCUUAUCUUAUCUAUCCUGAUGCAUAUUUUUUUCUUUGAAACUGGGCUAUAAUGACAGAUAAUCACCCAGGAAUUUAGCACAGAGAGGACAAAUAGUAGGCUGGAAGAAAACUCAGGAACAUAAAACAACUGGUCAAUAGGUGAUCUGUGAUUAUAAGUAAUGACUUUGUAACUACACACAGAUACUGUGGCGAGAGAAGC